CUCAUGAAGAGUUCGAUCCUGGCUCAGGAUAAACGCUAGCAGCAUGCUUAACACAUUCAAGUCAGAUGGAAAACAUGGGAAACGGUGUUUCCAGUGGUGGAUGGGUGAGUAACGCAUAAGAACCUGCCUUUAGGAGGGGAACAAUAGCUGGAAACGGCUGCUAAUACCCCAUAGGCUGAGGAUCAAAAGGAUGAAUCCGCCCGAGGAGGGGCUCGUGUGUGAUUAGCUAGUUGGUCAGGCAAUAGCUUACCAAGGCGAUGAUCAGUAGCUGGUCCGAGAGGAUGAUCAGCCACACAAGGACUGAGACAAGACCCAGACUCCUACGGGAGGUAGCAGUGGGGAAUUUUCCGCAAUGGGCGAAAGCCUGAUGGAGCAAUGCCGCGUGGAGGUAGAAGGACCACGGGUCGUGAACUUCUUUUCUCUAAGAAUAAGCAAUGAUGGUAUCUAGGGAAUAAGCAUCGGCUAACUCUAUGCCAGCAGCCGCGGUAAUAUAGAGAAUGCAAGUGUUAUCCGGAAUAAUUGGGCGUAAAGCGUCUGUAGGUGGCUUUUUGAGUCUGCCGUUAAAUCCCAGGGCUCAACCCUGGAUAAGCGGUGGAAAAUACCAAGAUGGAGUAUGGUAGGGGCAGAGGGAAUUUCUGGUGGAGCGGUGAAAUGCGUAGAGAUCGGAAAGAACACCAAUGGCGAAAGCACUCUGCUGGGCCGACACUGACACUGAGAGACAAAAGCUAGGGGAGCGAAUGGGAUUAGAUACCCCAUUAGUCCUAGCCGUAAAUGAUGGAUACUAAGUGCUGUGCAUAUCGACCCAUGUAGUGCUGUAGCUAAUGCGUUAAGUAUCCCUCCUGGGGAGUACGUUCCCGAGAAUGAAACUCAAAGGAAUUGACGGAGGCCCACACAAGCGGUAGAGCAUGUGGUUUAAUUCAAUGCAAAGAGAAGAACCUUACCAGGGCUUGACAUGCCGCGAAUCCUCUUGAAAGAGAGGGGUGCCUUCAGGAACGCGGACAUAGGUGGUGCAUGGCUGUCGUCAGCUCGUAUCAUAAGGUGUUGGGUUAAGUCCCGCAAUGAGUGCAACCCUCGUGUUUAGUUGCCAUCGUUGAGUUUGGAACAUUGAACAAACUGCUGAUGAUAAGCCGAAAGAAGGUGAGGAUGACGUCAAGUUAUCAUACCCCUUAUACCCUGGGCGAUACAUGUGCCAUAAUGGCCAGGACAAAGCAUCGCGAUCCCGCGAGGGUGAGCUAACCCUAAAAACCCAUCCUCAAUUCGUAUUACAGGCUGCAACUCGCCUGCAUAAAGUUGGAAUCGCUAGUAAUCGCCGGUCAGCCAUACGGCGAUGAAUUCAUUCCUGGGACUUGUACACACCGCCCGUCACACUAUGGGAUCUGUCCAUGCCUAAAGUCGUUACCUUAACCACAAGAAGGGGAAUGUCGAAGGUAGGGCUAGUGACUGGAGUGAAGUCAUAACAAGGUCGCCGUACUAGAAGGUACGGCUGGAUCACCUCCUUU
rfam:Capsicum annuum cultivar Zunla-1 unplaced genomic scaffold scaffold669, whole genome shotgun sequence